UCUUCCAAAACAUCCGGAUACACCUGGCCCUCACAGAACUUCUCGGCGUCGGGGAUUUCCCAAUCAGGCCAAAAAGGAAGGUCGGGUUCUUGGGCUAUAACAUAAAACCACCCCUCCCUCCACCCCUUCAAAGAGCUCGCCAUCCUCGGGACUUUAAAACCCCCAAUCGUCGAGAGAUAGCCAAAACAAGUGUAUCGAGGAUGCUUCUUAAGCUCGAACACUAAUUUACUGAGGCCAAUGUUGGGCUCGAUACCUAAGUAUCUACAUGCUAUGAAAAAAUA
rnacentral:lncRNA from 1 species